rnacentral:lncRNA from 14 species
GGCUUCUCAGAAGCACAUGAGCUGCUUUGCUCCUUAGUUGUGUCCCUCCUCUGCCUAUGGAUGGAGACAUGGGUGGAGAGAAUGAGAGUCAUGAGGCUAAGGAGAGCCUCAGGCAUGAAAGAAAGUCUCUGAAACAGGAUGGAGUUGCAGAAAGGCUGCGUUUUCUCAAGGGAUCUGUGCAUUGCAUGAAAUGAGAUGAUCCUGAUGCCUUUUCUGCAGCAGAUCCCUCAUCUUGUGAACCUUCAGGAGGAAACGAGUGAUGUGGGGUCUGAAGGAAACCUAAUUCAGUGCUAUGCACUGUUCUGUGGCUGCCUGUUGUUGAUACAGAACUGAAGAUGCAGCACAUGUGCUCAGAGAGAUGGAACAACUGCCAUGCUACAUACUGCAGCUGUCCAGACUGAUGUCGCCCUUGAUUGUCUCGUCUGCAUGUUGCUUCAAGUCACCAGAGUUUCUCAGUCCUGCUUUGGUUGAGUUCCCACUGCCUCCCAUCACAGAACAGCCUCUGCUGGAAGGAUGCAGCUGAAACACAAAGCGCAGACUGAGGAAUGCCAAGUGUGUACCUGGCUGAGAGCACACAGGAACAGCAGUGCUGGCAGUGAAGGGAAACCCACAUCUCCCAAGUGCCACCAGCAGCUCCUCCAAAGAUUGCUCUGGUUGCUGUGUGAAGUGGAGGCCGUGCUGGGGACAGGGCUUGCUGCAGCUGAUGGAGUGUUCUGGAGAUUCAUCUGCCUUUGAAGGCUCUGUACUAAAUGCUGUUACAAUACACACGGAGCUAAACUGAGCAAAUGGUGAUUGAGCAACAAUGGAGGAAUAUAUUUG